AGCCCGAUAGUCUAGUUCGGUCAAACACGUCGGGCCAAGGAUUCUGCCCUCUGGAGGCAGAGACGGCAGUUCGAAUCUGCCUCGGGCUA
rnacentral:tRNA from 1 species